rnacentral:rRNA from 1 species
GACGAACGCUGGCGGCGUGCCUAAUACAUGCAAGUUGAGCGCUGAAGGUUGGUACUUGUACCAACUGGAUGAGCAGCGAACGGGUGAGUAACGCGUGGGGAAUCUGCCUUUGAGCGGGGGACAACAUUUGGAAACGAAUGCUAAUACCGCAUAAAAACUUUAAACACAAGUUUUAAGUUUGAAAGAUGCAAUUGCAUCACUCAAGAAUAAUCCGCGUUGUAUUAGCUAGUUGGUGAGGUAAAGGCUCACCAAGGCGAUGAUACAUAGCCGACCUGAGAGGGUGAUCGGCCACAUUGGGACUGAGACACGGCCCAAACUCCUACGGGAGGCAGCAGUAGGGAAUCUUCGGCAAUGGACGAAAGUCUGACCGAGCAACGCCGCGUGAGUGAAGAAGGUUUUCGGAUCGUAAAACUCUGUUGGUAGAGAAGAACGUUGGUGAGAGUGGAAAGCUCAUCAAGUGACGGUAACUACCCAGAAAGGGACGGCUAACUACGUG